rnacentral:rRNA from 1 species
UACGUAGGGGGCAAGCGUUGUCCGGAUUUAUUGGGCGUAAAGAGCGUGUAGGCGGCCAGACAGGUCCGUUGUGAAAACUCGAGGCUCAACCUCGAGACGCCGAUGGAAACCGUCUGGCUAGAGUCCGGAAGAGGGGAGUGGAAUUCCUGGUGUAGCGGUGAAAUGCGCAGAUAUCAGGAAGAACACCGAUAGCGAAGGCAGCUCGCUGGGACGGUACUGACGCUGAGGCGCGAAAGCGUGGGGAGCGAACAGG